AGGAUGAACGCUGGCGGUCUGCUUAACACAUGCAAGUCGAGCGGAGUAGCAAUACUUAGUGGCGGACGGGUGAGUAACGCGUGAGAAUCUACCUUCAGGACGGAGACAACAGUUGGAAACGACUGCUAACCCCCGAUGUACCGAAAGGGCAAAUAUUUAUAGCCUGAAGAAGAGCUCGCGUCCGAUUAGCUAGUUGGAGAGGUAAAAGCUCACCAAGGCGACGAUCGGUAGCUGGUCUGAGAGGACGAUCAGCCACACUGGGACUGAGACACGGCCCAGACUCCUACGGGAGGCAGCAGUGGGGAAUUUCCGCAAUGGGCGAAAGCCUGACGGAGCAAGACCGCGUGGGGAAGAAGGCUCUUGGGUUGUAAACCCCUUUUCUCUGGGAAGAACGUUGUGAAAGCAGCCUGACGGUACCAGAGGAAUCAGCAUCGGCUAACUCCGUGCCAGCAGCCGC
rnacentral:rRNA from 1 species